rnacentral:rRNA from 1 species
CCUACGGGGGGCAGCAGUGGGGAAUAUUGGACAAUGGGGGCAACCCUGAUCCAGCCAUGCCGCGUGUGUGAAGAAGGCCCUCGGGUUGUAAAGCACUUUCAGUGAGGAAGAACGCCUUGUGGUUAAUACCCAUCAGGAAAGACAUCACUCACAGAAGAAGCACCGGCUAACUCCGUGCCAGCAGCCGCGGUAAUACGGAGGGUGCGAGCGUUAAUCGGAAUUACUGGGCGUAAAGCGCGCGUAGGUGGCUUGAUAAGCCGGUUGUGAAAGCCCCGGGCUCAACCUGGGAACGGCAUCCGGAACUGUCAAGCUAGAGUGCAGGAGAGGAAGGUAGAAUUCCCGGUGUAGCGGUGAAAUGCGUAGAGAUCGGGAGGAAUACCAGUGGCGAAGGCGGCCUUCUGGACUGACACUGACACUGAGGUGCGAAAGCGUGGGUAGCAAACAGGAUUAGAUACCCUGGUAGUC